UGCCUAAAGCAUAGCGCUAAUGUAUUGGAUCCCAUUAGAACUCUACAGUUAAGCGUGCUUAGGCUAGAGUAGUAUUGGGAUGGGUGACCACCCAGGAAGUCCUAGUAUUUUACAUGC
rnacentral:rRNA from 1 species